rnacentral:tRNA from 1 species
GGAUUGUGGCUCAGUGGUAGAGCGAUUGUCUAGUACAUGCGAGGCCCUGGGUUCGAUCCUAAGCACCA